rnacentral:rRNA from 1 species
UACAGAGGGGGCAAGCGUUAUUCAGAAUUAUUGGGCGUAAAGGGCGCGUAGGCGGCUUGGCAAGUGGAUGGUGAAAUCCCUCGGCUUAACCGAGGAACUGCCGUCCAAACUGCUUUGCUUGAGACCGGGAGAGGUGAGUGGAAUUCCCAGUGUAGCGGUGAAAUGCGUAGAUAUUGGGAGGAACACCAGUGGCGAAGGCGGAUCUCUGGACAGCUCCUGACGCUGAGGCGCGAAGGCUAGGGGAGCAAACGGG